UACGUAGGGGGCAAGCGUUGUCCGGAUUUAUUGGGCGUAAAGAGCGUGUAGGCGGCCAGACAGGUCCGUUGUGAAAACUGGAGGCUCAACCUCCAGACGUCGAUGGAAACCGUCUGGCUAGAGUCCGGAAGAGGAGAGUGGAAUUCCUGGUGUAGCGGUGAAAUGCGCAGAUAUCAGGAAGAACGCCCGUGGCGAAAGCGGCUCUCUGGGACGGUACUGACGCUGAGACGCGAAAGCGUGGGGAGCGAACAGG
rnacentral:rRNA from 1 species